rnacentral:lncRNA from 1 species
AGCAGCUCCUUCCAGGGACAGAGCUCGAGCGCAGCUACGUACGCAUCCCAGCAUGGCUUUCACUUCCAGAGCCUUGGCCGCGUUCCUGUGCGUGCUCCUGGCCUCACUCAUGUUCCUCGCGCAGCACGCGUUCGCCGCCAGAGGUAUCGUCAACUCUCUGCUUCUCAGUGUCGUUCUCCUCGUGUCUAAAAUAGCUGUAAUUCAAUCUGCCUGUGCAUGAACGUUGCUACCGCAGGUACUUUGAGCAACGAGACGCCAUACGGGGUCACCUACAAGGCCCCGCCCGGUGGUUAUGGGAGUUCUCCUCCAUGAUAGGCCGGAGAUGAUGAUACUUGGAGCAGCGAAACACAAAUACGUACGGCGGAGCAUGAAUAAAUUUGCACUAGUUGCUGAUAUAAAGCAAAGCAUAGUGAUGCACGGUUUUAUGUUGUUAUUGAGUUUCCCUUUAUAUAUAUACAAAUAAACACCCUUGUGGUGGUUUGCGUGCUAUCUUACCUCGCGAGUCAUCUGAGUUUGGCUGACGCCGAGUAUCUUCGGUUCGCAUCAAAGUUAUCAAGUCUCUGCAUGAACUAAGUUACAGUCAUUAUAUA